rnacentral:tRNA from 1 species
CCUUCGAUAGCUCAGUUGGUAGAGCGGUGGACUGUAGCGAAAGUGGCGAUCGAGCAGUGGUGGAAACUUCACCCCCAGUUAGUGAUCGUCACGUGGUAGUAGUAGUAAUCCAUAGGUCACUGGUUCAAAUCCGGUUCGAAGGA